rnacentral:rRNA from 1 species
UACGGGGGGAGCAAGCGUUGUUCGGAUUUACUGGGCGUAAAGGGCGCGUAGGCGGCCACCGCAAGUCGACUGUGAAAUCUCCGGGCUUAACUCGGAAAGGUCAGCCGAUACUGCGGGGCUAGAGUGCAGAAGGGGCAACUGGAAUUCUCGGUGUAGCGGUGAAAUGCGUAGAUAUCGAGAGGAACACCUGCGGCGAAGGCGGGUGCUGGGCUGACACUGACGCUGAUGUGCGAAAGCCAGGGGAGCAAACGGG